AUAUAAAUAAAAGCGCCAGGACUUAAGUGAUAGAAAAAACUCAACCUGACAGUUGAGUAAGUUCCACUAACCAAAUCGAAGAUUUGGAGUAAUGAAGGAAACUCAACCUGACGGUUGAGUAAGUUCCACUAAUCAAAUCGAAGAUUUGGAGUGUCACUUAAGUUGACGAGGAUGGGGAGUAUCGAAUCUUCGGCGGGUGCCCCACGGUAUCGCACUACCGUUAACGAUUGAUAAAACUGGAAAGUGAUUUUCAGCACAAUAUCAAUCUGGUGUUAAAA
rnacentral:ncRNA from 2 species